rnacentral:rRNA from 1 species
CAGCAGCCGCGGUAAUACGAGGGGGGCAAGCGUUGUUCGGAAUUAUUGGGCGUAAAGGGUGCGUAGGCGGUUUGAUAAGUCUUGUGUGAAAUCUAUGGGCUCAACCCAUAGUCUGCAUAGGAAACUGGGAAACUUGAGUGCAGAAGAGGAGAGUGGAAUUCCACGUGUAGCGGUGAAAUGCGUAGAGAUGUGGAGGAACACCAGUGGCGAAGGCGACUCUCUGGUCUGUAACUGACGCUGAGGAGCGAAAGCGUGGGGAGCGAACAGGAUUAGAUACCCCAGUAGUCCCUGUCUCUUAUAC